CCUAUGGGUGGCAGCAGUCGAGAAUCAUUCACAAUGGGGGCAACCCUGAUGGUGCGACUCCGCGUGGGGGAAUGCAGGUCUUCGGAUUGUAACCCCCUGUCAUGUGGGCGCAAAUUAAAAAGCUAGUAACACAAGAGGAUGAGACGGCUAAGUCGGUGACAGCAGCCGCGGUAAUACAGAGGUCGCACGCGUUGUUCGGAAUCACUGGGGGUAAAGCGUGCGUAGGCUGUUUCGUAAGUCGUGUGUGAAAGGCGCGGGCUCAACCCGCGAACGGCACAUGAUACUGCGAGACUAGAGUAAUGGAGGGGGAAGCGGAAUUCUAGGUGUAGCAGUGAAAUGCGUAGAUAUGGAGAGGAACACUCGUGGCGAAGGCGGGUUCCUGGACAUUAACUGACGCUGAGGCACGAAGGCCAGGGGAGCGAAAGGGAUUAGAUACCCGGGUAGUC
rnacentral:rRNA from 1 species